rnacentral:lncRNA from 1 species
ACAUGUAGGUCAGCCGUUUUCUCCCGCCACUGGACCAGACCUUUAUAAUUGUGCACACACAGCAGACCGUGAUUUGUACACAGACUAAGAAGAUUCACUGCAGCUGUGAUUUUCAUAUUAUAAUAGAUUCCAUUUAACAAUCAAGUUUAAUUGGACAGGGAAGAAGUUAAAAAGAGGCUUCUCAGCCCUCAAGUUCAUGAAGUUAUAACACGGGCUGUACAAAAAAACCGCCUUACGGCAAAGGCCAUUGACGAUGAGGUCGACAAUAUAGCCAAAGACUGGUUGAGGUAUGCAGGGGACCGAGAAGGGGGCAGACAAAAAAGAGAAGAAAUUAAAAGACAGAAAGAGGCGGCGACAGCUGCACUGAUGGCAUCG